GAUGAACGCUAGCGGCAGGCUUAAUACAUGCAAGUCGAGGGGCAGCAUGAUUGUAGCAAUACAAUUGAUGGCGACCGGCAAACGGGUGCGGAACACGUACACAACCUUCCAAUAAGUGGGGAAUAGCACAGAGAAAUUUGGAUUAAUACCCCGUAACAUAACGAUGUGGCAUCACAUUGUUAUUAUAGAUUUUUCGCUUAUUGUGGGGUGUGCGGCUGAUUAGAUAGUUGGCGGGGUAACGGCCCACCAAGUCUACGAUCAGUAGCUGAUGUGAGAGCAUGAUCAGCCACACGGGCACUGAGACACGGGCCCGACUCCUACGGGAGGCAGCAGUAAGGAAUAUUGGACAAUGGACGCAAGUCUGAUCCAGCCAUGCCGCGUGAAGGAUUAAGGUCCUCUGGAUUGUAAACUUCUUUUAUAAGGGACGAAAAAAGGCUUUUCUAAGUCGUCUGACGGUACCUUAUGAAUAAGCACCGGCUAACUCCGUGCCAGCAGCCGCCGUAACAC
rnacentral:rRNA from 1 species